rnacentral:misc_RNA from 1 species
CUAAUGCGAAUUUGGUAGGAGUGAAGGUUAGUUUCUCGCCGGUUUUGCCUGUGGUUUUCUCCGAUGAUGAUAAUGACAUGAAUGAUUUAGGGUCGUUGGAUUUGGAUNNNNNNNNNNAUGUCCCGAAUACGAGUGAAAUGAAUUUGGAUUGUGAUAUGAUUGAAGCACGAGAAGAGGAUUCUGGGGUGGCGAAGAGUGUGGUGGCUAAAAGCGUUUUGAAUGUGUUUGAUGAGUGUCUCAAAGAUGUUCAGAUGGUCCUCGCGAGAGAAAGCUUGCGAUGCUCGAAUGAUUUUAAGGAUUUUGAAAGGAGGUGGAGGAAGCAAAGGGUUGCAGAGCUGGAUGUUUUUUCUCGGCGAUUGAGGUUGGUUCUCGAGAACUCUGUUAAUAGGCNNNNNNNNNAUCAUAACUUGGUUAGUGUAGCAUUCGUAAUUGGCUCAUUGGCAUUGCCUUUUUGGGGGGGGCUCUGCUGAUUAUUUUUCUGAAAACUUGUAUAUUCCCUUUUAUGUA